UGGUGAUGUUCGUAAAAUUCAAACCGCAUGUAUAUGAACGAUCUAAAACUAUAUGUCUUUUGAUAUUCAUUCUUAAAGUCUUUAAGUACACUACUAUAAAAAAAAACCUAUGGUAGUGGUUUGAAACAGCUGCCAUAGCCUACGGCAAUGGUUGUAUAACUAUUACCAUUGUAGCCGUCGUCGUAGCCUAUGGUAGAAGUUUUUU
rnacentral:lncRNA from 1 species